UACAGAGGUCUCGAGCGUUGUUCGGAUUCAUUGGGCGUAAAGGGCGCGUAGGCGGCGGGGUAAGUCUGGUGUGAAAUCUCGGAGCUCAACUCCGAAAUUGCACUGGAUACUGCUCUGCUAGAGGGCUGGAGAGGAGAUCGGAAUUCACGGUGUAGCAGUGAAAUGCGUAGAUAUCGUGAGGAAGGCCAGUGGCGAAGGCGGAUCUCUGGACAGCUCCUGACGCUGAGGCGCGAAGGCUAGGGGAGCAAACGGG
rnacentral:rRNA from 1 species